UACGUAGGGUGCAAGCGUUAAUCGGAAUUACUGGGCGUAAAGCGUGCGCAGGCGGUUUUGUAAGUCUGUCGUGAAAGCCCCGGGCUCAACCUGGGAAUUGCGAUGGAGACUGCAAGGCUUGAAUCUGGCAGAGGGGUGUGGAAUUCCAGGUGUAGCGGUGAAAUGCGUAGAUAUCUGGAGGAACAUCAGUGGCGAAGGCGACACCCUGGACUCAUACUGACACUGAGGUACGAAAGCGUGGGGAGCAAACAGG
rnacentral:rRNA from 1 species